rnacentral:rRNA from 1 species
CGCCAGACUCCUACGGGAGGCAGCAGUGGGGAAUAUUGCACAAUGGGGGAAACCCUGAUGCAGCGACGCCGCGUGAGUGAAGAAGUAAUUCGUUAUGUAAAGCUCUAUCAGCAGGGAAGAAAAUGACGGUACCUGAGUAAGAAGCCCCGGCCAACUACGUGCCAGCAGCCGCGGUAAUACGUAGGGGGCAAGCGUUAUCCGGAUUUACUGGGUGUAAAGGGGGCGCAGACGGCGAUGCAAGCCAGGAGUGAAAGCCCGGGGCCCAACCCCGGGACUGCUCUUGGAACUGCGUGGCUGGAGUGCAGGAGGGGCAGGCGGAAUUCCUGGUGUAGCGGUGAAAUGCGUAGAUAUCAGGAGGAACACCGGUGGCGAAGGCGGCCUGCUGGACUGCGACUGACGUUGGGGCCCGAAAGCGUGGGGAGCAAACAGGAUUAGAUACCCCGGUAACC